ensembl:snRNA Gm26479 predicted gene, 26479
UAUAUUGAAGACUAGGUGGCCUGUUAUCUUUGGAACAAUACAGAGAAAAUUAGCAUGGGCCCUAUGCAAGGAUGACCCCAAAGUUAAUCAAGUGUUCCACAUUUUG